ensembl:lncRNA
AGUCUGUUCCUCAUAAAAACAGCAUCUCUGGGGCCAGCAGGCCAGCUUGGAUUCAGGACCAUGUCCCUGGUGCUUCCCUCCAUGCUCUGUCUUGGAGAGUCUGAGAGAGAAGGGCCCAGCUACAAAUACAGGCUCCAGGUGGCAGGUCCAUCGGUUCUAGGAGGCUGGGGUGUCUCACCCACUGUUUCCUUCCAGGGAUGUGUCUAGGCCAGAGCACUCAGGCGCAGAAGGGAAAUCUCCCACGACCUCUUCUCAUGGCUCUACCAGGAUCUACGGUUCCACCUGGGAAUCCAGUGAUGAUCCUGUGCAGAGGGCCUCAGAAGCUGAAGCAUAUGCGCUAUCUAGAGUGAGAAGCCCUGAGCCCUCAGAUAGAGAGAAGCAACUGCUGUCUAAGACGUCCAACACUUAGAGUAUCUCAGAGAUGACGCCAUACUGGGCAGGGUUGUACCACUGUUCCUAUCAAAGUGUAGGCAGCUGGUCCCAGUUCAGUGACCCCCUGCAACCAGUGAUGACUAGUGAGUAGGACACAAGGGCAGCACAACCAGGACUGACCUCUUUGCAGAGGGAAGAACCAGACGUUGCAGAUAUGAAGCACAGAGGACCAAAACCUCUAUCCUUAGAAAGGGUUAGGGAUGAUGCAGACACAGAUUCCUCACAGCAGGACAAGGAGGGGAUAGAAACCAGAGCCAUGUCUACUCUGGGGGAACAAAAAGGGACAAUGCAUACAUGUGGCCCAGCCCUUUAUCUACAAGCUUCCUUCUUUCUCAGGAGCUUAUGAGAAACCCUUCCUCUCAAGCAUGACUGGUAUCAUGGUGCCUUCAGGGAAGAAUGAGAAGUUGCGGUGUUUCUCAACACUCAAGUUUGAUGCAUCUAUUCUUAUGAAGAAAGAUGGAGUUCACACCAUCCAGAACCAAAUCUCCACCUCUGAGGGUGGUGGACACCAGGCUGUGUUCCUCUUGAAUCAUGUCUCCUCCACACAAACUGGGACCUACAGAUGCUAUGGUGUCUUCGGUCAUUACCCUUAUGUGUGGUCUCACCCCAGUGACCGAUUGCAGCUUUGGGUCACAGCCCCAUAUGCAGAAGCUUCUGACCAUCCUGUUCCCACAAGCCCCAGACCUUCACCUGAUUCCCUGAUGGGAUCACCACUGUGGCCACAAUCAAAGGAGGAAUGAAAGAACCUGCUGCCUGGCAUCUUUCUGCAGAGAAUCAAGUCCGGCUGAGCAUGGCUGGCCUGAUUCUCUUGGUCCUGGGGGUGCUCUUGGCUGAGGCCUGGUACAGCCGGAAGAUGCCCUUAAAUGGACACAGACAAGCCCCCACCUGAGUGUAAUGACAGCACCGAUGUCCUUCUAUUGGCAUCUAAUGACUGUGUGGACCCUGGGGGAGCAGCCAGAGGAGAUAGUGCCCUGGCCAUGUCACCUACUGAGAUAUCGGAGAAGACUUGUUUCUUGUUGAAUCUGUAACAACCUACCCCAGACACUUCGGUUUAAAGCAACACCAAUUCAUUCUCUUUUCAUUCUAGGGAGCAGGAGUCUAAAAAGUGUCUGCAGGCCUGCAUUCCUCUUUUAGCGUCUGGUCUGUGUUCCUGCCUUUUCUGUUUCUGGGCUCCGCCUGCAUUCCUUGCCUUCUGGAUCCCUCCUCCAUCUCCAAACCCACCAGUGUAGCAUCUUCUCUCCUCUCUGACCUCUGCUUCCUUCCCGCCUUCUUCUCUCUCUUGCUCCCACCCUCCUGCUUCCCUCUUAUAAGGACCCUUGUGGUGACAUUGGGCCUAAGAAGAUAAUCCAGGAUAAUCUCUCAGUUUCCAGAGUCUCGUCUUCCUCACAUCACAAUGUCCCUUAGCCGUGUCAGGUCCCACUCACAGUUCUGGGAAUUAGACGAGCACAACUUGAGGGGGACCAUUCAGCCGACCUCCAGUAGCUCAGUACAUCUGACCAUAGCGCAGGGCUGUGCUUGCACUUGUGCACUAACUCCUGGGGGAGACGUGGGGAUUGAAUAUUUAAUACUCUUUAGAAUUUAAAACAGGACAUGAUCUAAAUAGAGAGGGAGAGAUGCUUAACGAAUCCUGCUUCUGUAUGUCACAAUGUGUAAGUUCCUGACUUAUUGUACUUGAGGGGAGAAAACUUGGUCUAGGAAUAGAAAUGCUGAUUUUUUCAAUAGCGUCCUUUACUUUUACUUUAAAGGAUAUACAAAGCAAAUGUAAAAGUAUGAACGUUUAUGUUGGUGUGUUUGUUUCACGAUUUAAGUAACACCGAUGUUUGUGAUGUUAGCCAUUGUUCCAGUUUGGGGUUUAUUUUUGUUUUUUCUGAAAAGGAACAUCUUUUUUUUUUCUGUUUUUUUGAGGAAGAUUAGCCCUGAGCUAACUACUGCCAGUCCUCCUCUUUUUGCUGAGGAAGCCUUGCCCUGAGCUAACAUCCGUGCCCAUCUUCCUCUACUUUAUAUGUGGGAAGCCUGCCACAGCAUGGCGUGCCAAGCUGUGCCAUGUCCGCACCCUGGAUCCAAACCAGCGAACUCUGGGCCGCCGAGAAGAGGAACGUGCGUACUUAACCACUGCACCACCGGGCCAGCCCCUGAAAAGGAACGUCCUUAAAAGCAUGACACUAAAACAACAGACUCAACAGAAUGGUUAAAUCUGACUCCUGUUAUAGUUGAGUGGAUGAAAUCAUUCUGGAACUUCUUAGCUCCAAUCUACUGAAGUAAAGAAUAAAUAUCCUCACACUUAAACCAGGUGGACACUGUGCUCUGUAGAGACAUGGAGAUACUAAGUUCCAUCACUUGCCCUUUGGUCUCAUCUCUGCCCUGUGAUUAGAUUCUCGAAGAGCUCUCUGCUACCGGCUGCUGUUCCCUUACUAAAUUUCUCUUCUUUGGGAGUCAUCUCAUCUUCUUUGCAACCACUCAGUUCUGCUGUUGUCACACAAAACUACUUCAGGUGACACAUAGCCACAAAGGCAUGGCUGUGUUCCAAUAAAAUUUGUUUACACACACUGAACUUGAAUUUCAGAUCAUCUCCAUGGGCCAAAAAAUAUUAAUUUUUUUUAUUUUUUCAAGCA